CUCUGUAAUUGGAAUGAUGGGAAUGUAAAACCCUUCCAGAGUAACAAUUGGAGGGCAAGUCUGGUGCCAGCAGCCGCGGUAAUUCCAGCUCCAAUAGUGUAUAUUAGAGUUGUUGCAGUUAAAAAGCUCGUAGUUGGAUUUCUGCUGUGGUCAUCCGGUACCGCCCGUAUGGGUGCGCACCUGGUUUGGCUGCGGCUUUCUUCCUGUAGCCGUCCGCGCUUAAUUGCGUGCGUUGUGUUACGGAACCUUUACUUUGAGAAAAAUAAAGUGUUUCAAGCAGGCUUGUCGCCCUGAAUACUUCAGCAUGGAAUAAUAGGAUAGGACCUUGGUUCUAUUUUGUUGGUUUCUAGGACCAAGGUAAUGAUUAAUAGGGACA
rnacentral:rRNA from 1 species